CGCUGGCGGCGUGCCUAAUACAUGCAAGUCGAGCGAACAGACAAGGAGCUUGCUCCUUUGACGUUAGCGGCGGACGGGUGAGUAACACGUGGGUAACCUACCUAUAAGACUGGGAUAACUUCGGGAAACCGGAGCUAAUACCUGGAUAAUAUUUCGAACCGCAUGGUUCGAUAGUGAAAGAUGGUUUUGCUAUCACUUAUAGAUGGACCCGCGCCGUAUUAGCUAGUUGGUAAGGUAACGGCUUACCAAGGCGACGAUACGUAGCCGACCUGAGAGGGUGAUCGGCCACACUGGAACUGAGACACGGUCCAGACUCCUACGGGAGGCAGCAGUAGGGAAUCUUCCGCAAUGGGCGAAAGCCUGACGGAGCAACGCCGCGUGAGUGAUGAAGGUCUUCGGAUCGUAAAACUCUGUUAUUAGGGAAGAACAUACGUGUAAGUAACUAUGCACGUCUUGACGGUACCUA
rnacentral:rRNA from 1 species